GUGGUUUAAUUCGAAGCAACGCGCAGAACCUUACCAGCCCUUGACAUCCCGGUCGCGGAUCGCAGAGAUGCUUUCCUUCAGUUUCGGCUGGACCGGUGACAGGUGCUGCAUGGCUGUCGUCAGCUCGUGUCGUGAGAUGUUGGGUUAAGUCCCGCAACGAGCGCAACCCCCGCCUUCAGUUGCCAACGGUUCGGCCGUGCACUCUGGAGGAACUGCCUGUGACAAGCAGGAGGAAGGUGGGGAUGACGUCAAGUCCUCAUGGCCCUUAUGGGCUGGGCUACACACGUGCUACAAUGGCGGUGACAGAGGGAUGCAAUACCGCGAGGUGGAGCAAAUCCCUAAAAGCCGUCUCAGUUCGGAUUGUUCUCUGCAACUCGAGAGCAUGAAGUUGGAAUCGCUAGUAAUCGCGGAUCAGCUCGCCGCGGUGAAUACGUUCCCGGGCCUU
rnacentral:rRNA from 1 species